AGUGUUAAGUAAGUGUGAUGGGGAGACCCAGAAUGAAAUGGCGCCCUGCUUUAUGAUCUGGUGCUGAGCAGCAGAGCGGAAUAAGAAUAGGACCCAAGGAGAGGCUUGUACAUUUUAAGCACUGAUGCUCUUUUCCCUGAGACCAUUAGCUCUAAGAGAAAGCUAAAGUAUUAGGGUUUAGGGACAAUGGAACUGGGCUGAAUUAUGCAAUUGCAUACUGUGCCGGCGAAAAGGAAAUCACCAGGUCUGCUCUCAGAUGGGCUAUUCCUGUGGGUGCCAAGAUGGCCACCAGCUAGCUGCUCCUGGCUUACAUCUUACUCUUAGCAACCCAAUGGAAAAAGAGCCCCACCUUCCUACUUUCCCCAAGUUUAGAUUAUUACUUCCAAUGAGCUGGCUUGGUUCAUGUCAAGAGACUUUCAGCACAACAACAACGAAGAAUUCAGAAGUAAUCCUCUGAAAAAAAAAUGCAGUACUGUUACCAGAAUAAGAAAGAAUGGAUGUUCUUGUCAAAUAAUUGAGGAAAUGAAUUAGAAUCUACUAUAUCUUUGGGAUGGAUAAUGGCUUUAUCAAUGGUGGAGCUUUUAGAAAAAUAUACCCCAUCAGAGGAAAAUGCCAUUUAUUCUCUGGGAGACGCUUAUAGUAUAUGAGAUAGAAGGUGUUAGACAGUGACCUAAUAAAAACCAUGAUUUGGGUCUUCUAAAAUAUGGCCUUCUGAACAACAGGAUGUAGUGUGUUGGAAAUAUUUAGUAAAAAUGCUUAUAUAAAAUUAACCAACAUGAAUCAGAAGAGCCUAAGAGAGAGUGGCAUGGACUAAUAUAUACUACCAAAUGUAAAAUAACUAGCUAAGUAUAUAGCUUACAGUAUAAGUAUAUAGCUUACAGUCACCAGUAAGAAAUGUAAUUAGUCUUUUAGUAAGUGGUCACAUAUGGGGCACCUGCAAUGUGUGGAGAAAGAAGACAUCAGUGUUUUGCUCAGAUCAUAUGAGAAGAAAAAAUUGAGAUGUUUUGGUCAUCAUGGGACUUCUUCGAUCAUAGCUAUUUGGAUUCACACUUAUCUUUGUUUCCAUAUUCUAAGAGCCCUGGUCCAGGAAGAUCCCACAUGCUGUGGAGCAACUAAGCCUGUGCGCUACAACUACUGAGCCUGCACUGUAGAGCCCGUGAGCCACAACUACUGAGCCCACGUGCCACAACUACUGAAGUCCGCACGCCUAGAGCCCUUGCUCCGCAACAAGAGAAGCCAUUGCAAUGAAAAGCACGUACACCACAACAAAGAGUAGCCCCCGCUCGCCAAAACUAGAGAAAGCCCGUGCGCAGCAAUGAAGACCCAACGCAGCCAAAAAAGUGAGUAAGCAAGACUGAGGACUUAAGCCCAGAAGACAGCCUGUCAGACAGCUCUGAGGGACUGCCCUGAAGAGAAAAUGCUGACCCUUGUUCUAGAUUUAAGGAGACAAAGGACAUCAGACAACCAAAUAUAAUACAUUAUUCUUGAUUGGACCUAUAUCAGAAAAAAAUGCUAUAAAGGACAUUUUGGAAACAAUUUGGAAAAUGUGAGUAUGUUCUGUGUAAUCAGAUAAAAUUUUUAUAACUAUGUUAAAUUUCCUGGUGUGAUCAUGGUGCUGUGGUUGUUUAUGUGGAAGAAUGUCCUUGCUCUGAGGAGGUAUAUAGGGCUGCAACUUACUUGCAAAUAGCUGGGGGAGAUGUAUACAAAGGGUGCACAAAUUUAUCACAAAUGUGGUAAAGUGUUAGCAAUUAGUGAAUGUAGGUGAAUGAUAGCCUACUAUUCAUUUCAACAUUAUUUGAAGUUUUCAAAUAAAAAGUUGGGGAAAAUAAUAAAUACAAACCUAAAAACAAUAUUAAUUUUAAAAGAAGUCGCUAAGCAGGAUACAAAUGAUCGAUCGGUAACAUAUGCUGAGGGCCGAUCAGUUAAUACAAGUGGUUUGAGUUUUGCACUUAAACCUCUUCAGCAGUUAUGCUGGGGGGGUUGUCAUCUAUCAGCUAACGGCUCUCAUCCUCGUGGCUUUUCUGAAUUCUCCUGUCUGUUUUUUCUGAGCCAGUUCCAGACUGCAAGGGGUUUACCAAAGAUUUACUUGUUAUUCAAUCUCUACAUUCGAACCAAAAAUGAUAGUCAGUGUUUAUCCUGUCUUUUGAGAAACUAAAAAAGUUACCUCCCACAUAAAUGUACUUUUUAGUUUUUCCUAGUGGGACAUAGAAAUCCAUCAUUAACUGUCACUUUGCCUUUUAGAAAUUAUUUAAUUCCUCGAAGAUUUAUUAUCUGUUUAAUCAGAGCAAACUCCUAAUGCAUCAGUAAUGAUCAGUAACGUACCAGUAAUUAUACACCAUUUUCAACCUAUAUUUCAUCUGUGUAUUUUUAUGAAAGUUUUUCUCUAAAUUAUGCUUUUGUCUGUGGGCAGUAAUUUUGAGGUUUAGGAACCAGCUGAGGUAUAGAUUAUCUUGAAAGGUUGCAUAUGGAUCUGCAAGGGCUUGGGAAUUCCGUGAAGAAGCACUUGCGGGCAGGGGUCACGAAGCAUUUUUGGCUCUGCAGUGCAGUGAAUGUGAUGGUCACUCUUUAGGACCAGUCCCUUAGCUCCGUGUCAGGUUGACUCAUUGGAACAUAAAAUCUAUUAGAUCACAAUUCAUUUUGUCUCAGAUUGUCGGCAGAGACUAUAUAGGUUGUGGCUUCUCAAGGCAACAAAAACAGCAUUUGUUUUACUAAUAGAGCUGAUGGUCUCUUCAAAGCAAAAAUCUAAAUCAGAAACAAAUUGUCCUUGACCCACUGGCUGCGAUUUAAAACAACUCCCCAACUGUCACAGAAAGGAACGAGACUGAAUUCGAUGUAAAAUGCAUGAACCAGUUUCUAAAAAUAAAAUUGGAAGCACUUUAGUUGAUACAACCUUCAUUCCAGGAAAAUGAGUUAUACGAGUGUCUUAUAUUGUUUUAUGGAAGUUGGAGAUUAAAAUGAUUUUUGGUAGACAUCGUGUCGGCUUCCUAUUCGAAUGAGUCCAGAAUGAAGCUGAAUAGAAUUAUAGGGGGGAAAAAAAUGAAUGACCAUUACUGGCAGUGAAACAACCAGGCAUUGCCAAUAACUUUUUAAGCACAUAUAUACACACUUUACACUCCUUUCAAAUUUUUUAUUGGUUCUGUCCAUGUAGAAUGAAGGUUCUAUACCAGUGAUACCUCUCAAAGCUGAUCCCUGAUGACUCAAGCUAUUUUAUGGCUGAUCCACUCCAGAGUUUGGAGAAAGGGGAUAGUGGUCAGCUCUUUGUAACCCCAUGUGUCCCAUUCAAGGCCAGCAACUGGUAACGUCAUCCUCCCUCUUCCAAGAAGAUGAGCCCUGCAAAAUGCUUUUACAAAGUGAAGUGUAAAAGUUAAAAAAUCAGACGUAUGUAGUGAGAGUAAUGUUUUUUAUCUCUUCUUCUUGGUAAUUUCUUUUUAUUCUCCAGUCCUUAUAUCAUUUAUUCUGAACAUUAAUGCUGAGGUUUAUUGCCCCAGUGAAAAGUAGGCACCAAAAAUCUCAGGAAGAACAAAAGAAUCAAGUCGUAGGCUCAAACACCUGUACUGAAUUUCAAAAUAGGUUCUUCAACCUAGGACAGAGGCAGAUUCAAAGGGCAAAAAUAAAAAACAAUGUUUUCUUGAGCUCCAGAAGGAAAAGAACAUGAAGUGCUCAGAACAUGGUGUUUAUAUGAUAAAGUCCUGUGUUGAUUUCCUGAAACACAAAGAAAAAAGAAGAACACUUGAGGGAGAGAACUAGAGAGAUGUGGGAGAGUGAAAAGACUUAAAGCGAGUGAGUGUUGAAGGCCUUUGUAAAAGGGCCUCUUAACGCUGUUGCCUCUGGGUCCAAAUCCCCAGGAGGGAAAGGGUGAUGGAAACCCCCGGAAAGAUGUGGGAAGACAAGACAGGAGGGGACUUGUGCCCUGUGUCCUGUCUGGAAUGGUGGGAGGAAACGGCCUUCCUGGGUACCCCACACCAAAGUGGAGAAGCCACAGUAGAAGGGGAAUGACAGGGCAAGUGCAGGAGAAAAAGCAUGUGAGGAAGACCCACAUCACACAUAUGACACCUUAAGUCUCCAUUUGUACCUGCAGUGCCUGAGGGAGGGACUUGAGUGAGCACAGAGAGAACUAAAGUAUAGGAUUGCAGAGGAGGGAGAGGGACUCUCACAGCAGAGGCUGGGGGUGGGCAGCCAGAGUCGGAGAUGAAAUGGAAAAUGUUGCUGAGUUUCAGAAGCUCAACGGACCCCAGCCAGAGCUGAGUCUGGAGCCCUGUCAACAGGGUAGAAGGCCGAACCCAGAAGAGCAAUUGCCCUGAGGUGAACCUGUUGAGAUAACAGUCUUUGAGUUACAUCAACAGUGGAUGCCAGCAGAAAAGUGAUUGCAGCCAAGGUUUCUCUCUCAAUGCCAAGAUUAUACAUAAAUUCCCCAGAGCCUCUGACUGCUCCUGGGGAGAGCGAAGGAGAAGGGAGAAGAGAUGAAAUAGAAAAUGAUUAUGUACCCCUAAAUGCCAUGGUUCUCGACCAGGAGUUAAUUUUGUUCCUUGAGAGACAUUUGAAAACGUCUGGAGACGUUUUUUGGUUGCUACAGAGGGGGAGGGGAUGUACCUACUGGCAUCCAGUUGGCCGAGGCCAGGGAUGCUGCUAAACAUCCUACACUACAAAGAACAGCUCUCCCAGCAAAGCAUUAUCCUGCCCCAAAUGAGUAGUAUUGAGGGUGAGAAACCCUGAGCCAAAGUGACCGAGUUACCCCCAUCAAUAGAAGUAAAAACAUGAGAAAUGUUUUUGAAAAGCUGUAUUUUUGCACACCUGAGUUUCUGUGACUGAACGGACACACACACACUACAAUACCAAGAUGGAGACUUGAAGAAAAUGGUGAGUGGAACACAAAAUGGUAAGGUAUAUCCCUGAGGACCUUCAACAUUUAAAAUUAGAUAGGAGAAACCAGUAAAGACGAUUUCAGGAAGAGGCAGCGAGGUACAGAAGAAGCCAAGAGAGUAUGUAGUAUCACAGAAGCUAAGGGAAAGAGAAGCUCAUGAAGGACACUCCAAGAAGUCAAGGUAACUAGGAAAAAAUAUGUCAAUUGAAUUCCGCCUCCUGCCUAUUUGGGAAGGGAUGAGAUCCAGAGGACAUGGGAAAGGAUUAGCUUUGGGUAGGAGAAGAGAUUCUUCCUCCUCUGCAACAGGACAGAGAAAAUGAGAAUGGGUGCAGAUACAGGUAGGUUUGUAAAUUUUGUUGCAAAUAAAUUGUGAAUUUCCCACAUCAGAGGCAAAAUAAUCUGCUAAAACUGAG
rnacentral:lncRNA from 1 species